CAACCUGUUUAUAAGAAGUCUGCAUCACUCAGGAAACUUGAAGGCAGUGAAAUGAAACGAGCGAGGGAUGCUGAUGUUGACAGUGGGGAGAGGAGAGUAGAGCGCCCGUGCAUCUGUGUGUACGCAAACAACACAAGCGGCACGCGCGGCCUCACGACAACAAAGUCGGCAACAGCGCUCGAGCCGAUGACAAACCCGGGGCACGGAAAGCCGCGCGCGCCAGGAGGGCACCGCUGUGCAGCAGCGAGGGAAGGUGAUGCUCUGAGCGCCGCGCGUGCGAAGCGAGCUCCAACAAACACGUCACGCGGCUCUUCUCAUUUGUUGACAAGCCGAGCCCCGGCGACCGGCUGCACGCAGGCCGGCGCUGCGGCAGCCGCUCGCCCUCCUCGCGACUUGUCUCGGCGAGAGAAAAUCCGGGGCUAGCUCGCGAGCUAGCGGCGCUGCUAGGCUAACGUGUCACUGGGCGCUGAGCACGGGAGAGAGAAAGCGCAUUCGGCUCCGUUAGCCGCUAGCGCCCAUCCCCCAGCCAGCCAGCCUUCCCCGUCUGUCCACCAUCUUUAAUCUGUGCCCCGUCUCCCUUCCCACCGCACAAAACAGCACAAAAACACCGGACACUCACCGUCAACGAACAUCGCCGAAUCGAUUAUCACCGGCCGAAGCUAUAAAUCGAUAUUACUUUUAUUAUCCGGGAGCGGCGCAGCCUCAGACCGAGACACAGCUGCCCCCUGGCGGACACAGAGGGCCUCGGCGGACGCGCGCCUCGGGGGGCGAGCACGAGGAGGGAGGGGACCGCAGGACCCCGCAACAGCAACACUCACGGGGAGGCGCACAUGAGCAGCGACACUGGCCUGUUUCGGACUAUUAUUUGUAUUUAUUAAUAAAGGUAUAUAAGUGAAUCAAUCAAUAAAGUUCCUGGAAAAAAGAUAUUUUGGAAGAUGUGUGAGGGAUAGGUAGAUUGUAAAUGGAGGGAGUUCAAGUGGAAAUAAUUUUUCUGUGUAUUCAUUGUAUGUUUGCUUUCUAUAAUAAAUUACGUUUUCUGGAAGGGGA